rnacentral:tRNA from 1 species
CCCGAUGGUGCAGACGGUUAAGUGCUUGGCUGUGAACCAAAAGGUUUGUGGUUCAAACCCACACAGCGGCU